CCUACGGGUGGCAGCAGUGGGGAAUUUUGCGCAAUGCUCGUAAGAGUGACGCAGCGACGCCGCGUGAAUGACGAAGGCCUUCGGGUCGUAAAGUUCCUUUGACAGGGGAGAAAAUGCAUAUAAGUAACCGUGUAUGUAUUGACGGUACCUGUAUAAGCAGACCCGGCUAAAUCCGUGCCAGCAGCCGCUGUAAUACGGAGGGGGCGUGCGUUGUUCGGAGUGACUGGGGGUAAAGAGCACGUAGGCGGUGUUGUAAGUCAUUAGUCAAAGACUAGAGCUCAACCUUAGUAAGGCUAGUGAUACUAUAAUACUAGAGUAUCAGAGAGGAAUGCAGAAUUCCUGGUGUAGCGGUGAAAUGCGUAGAUAUCAGGAGGAAUACCGUUAGCGAAGGCAGCAAUCUGGCUGGAAACUGACGCUGAGGUGCGAAAGCGUGGGUAGCGAACAGGAUUAGAUACCCGGGUAGUC
rnacentral:rRNA from 1 species